rnacentral:rRNA from 1 species
GACGAACGCUGGCGGCGUGCUUAACACAUGCAAGUCGAGCGGUAAGGCCUCCUUCGGGGGGUACACGAGCGGCGAACGGGUGAGUAACACGUGAGUAAUCUGCCCUUCACUCUGGGAUAAGCACCGGAAACGGUGUCUAAUACCGGAUAUGACCAUUCCUCGCAUGAGGUGGUGGUGGAAAGUUUUUUCGGUGGGGGAUGUGCUCGCGGCCUAUCAGCUUGAUGGUGGGGUAAUGGCCUACCAUGGCGUCGACGGGUAGCCGGCCUGAGAGGGUGACCGGUCACACUGGGACUGAGACACGGCCCAGACUCCUACGGGAGGCAGCAGUGGGGAAUAUUGGACAAUGGGCGGAAGCCUGAUCCAGCAACGCCGCGUGAGGGAUGACGGCCUUCGGGUUGUAAACCUCUUUCAUCACCGACGAAGCCUUUUGGGGUGACGGUAGGUGGAGAAGAAGCACCGGCCAACUACGUGCCAGCAGCCGCCGUAAAAC